UUUCCGGUUGAUCCUGCCGGACCCGACCGCUAUCGGGGUAAGGCUAAGCCAUGGGAGUCGAACGCCCGCCGCCGCGGGCGUGGCGGACGGCUGAGUAACACGUGGCUAACCUACCCUCGGGAGGGGGAUAACACCGGGAAACUGGUGCUAAUCCCCCAUAGGGGCGGAGGCCUGGAAGGGUCCCGCCCCGAAAGGGGCACGCGGGGGUUAUCGCCGCGUGCCCGCCCGAGGAUGGGGCCGCGCCCUAUCAGGUAGUUAGCGGGGUAAUGGCCCGCCAAGCCUACGACGGGUAGGGGCCGUGGGAGCGGGAGCCCCCAGAUGGGCACUGAGACAAGGGCCCAGGCCCUACGGGGCGCACCAGGCGCGAAAACUCCGCAAUGCGGGCAACCGUGACGGGGUUACCCCGAGUGCCCCCGUUAUGGGGGCUUUUCCCCGCUGUAAACAGGCGGGGGUAAUAAGCGGGGGGCAAGUCUGGUGUCAGCCGCCGCGGUAAUACCAGCCCCGCGAGUGGUCGGGACGAUUAUUGGGCCUAAAGCGCCCGUAGCCGGCCUGGUAGGCCCCCUCCUAAAGCCCGGGGCUCAACCCCGGGCCUGGAGGGGAAACCACCAGGCUAGGGGGCGGGAGAGGCCGAGGGUACUCCCGGGGUAGGGGCGAAAUCCGAUAAUCCCGGGAGGACCGCCAGUGGCGAAGGCGCUCGGCUGGAACGCGCCCGACGGUGAGGGGCGAAAGCCGGGGGAGCGAACCGGAUUAGAUACCCGGGUAGUCCCGGCUGUAAACGAUGCGGGCUAGGUGUUGGGCGGGCCUUGAGCCCGCCCAGUGCCGCAGGGAAGCCGUUAAGCCCGCCGCCUGGGGAGUACGGCCGCAAGGCUGAAACUUAAAGGAAUUGGCGGGGGAGCACCACAAGGGGUGGAGCCUGCGGCUUAAUUGGAGUCAACGCCGGG
rnacentral:rRNA from 1 species